GACGAACGCUGGCGGCGUGCCUAAUACAUGCAAGUCGAACGAACAGCGACUUGAACUUGUUCAAGUCAAUGUUAGUGGCGCACGGGUGAGUAACACGUGGAGAACCUACCCUUAAGCGGGGGAUAACCAUUGGAAACGAUGACUAAUACCGCAUAGAAUCACAGAUCAUAUGAUCAAUGAAGGAAAGACGGCUUCGGCUGUCACUUAAGGAUGGCUCCGCGGUGCAUUAGCUAGAUGGUGGGGUAAAGGCCUACCAUGGCAAUGAUGCAUAGCCGACCUGAGAGGGUGAUCGGCCACAUUGGGACUGAGGCACGGCCCAAACUCCUACGGGAGGCAGCAGUAGGGAAUCUUCCGCAAUGGGCGCAAGUCUGACGGAGAAACGCCGAGUGUGUGAAGAAGGUCUUCGGAUCGUAAAGCACUGUUGUUAGAGAAGAACGACCUGUAGAGUAACUGUUAGCGGAGUGACGGUAACUAACCAGAAAGGCACGGCUAACUACGUG
rnacentral:rRNA from 1 species